rnacentral:rRNA from 1 species
ACGGAAGGCAGCAGUGGGGAAUAUUGGACAAUGGGGGAAACCCUGAUCCAGCGACGCCGCGUGAGUGAAGAAGUAUUUCGGUAUGUAAAGCUCUAUCAGCAGGGAAGAAAAUGACGGUACCUGACUAAGAAGCCCCGGCUAACUACGUGCCAGCAGCCGCGGUAAUACGUAGGGGGCAAGCGUUAUCCGGAUUUACUGGGUGUAAAGGGAGCGUAGACGGCAAGGCAAGUCUGAUGUGAAAGGCAGGGGCUCAACUCCUGGACUGCAUUGGAAACUGUCUGGCUAGAGUACCGGAGGGGUAAGCGGAAUUCCUAGUGUAGCGGUGAAAUGCGUAGAUAUUAGGAGGAACACCAGUGGCGAAGGCGGCUUACUGGACGGUAACUGACGCUGAGACACGAAAGCGUGGGGAGCAAACAGGAUUAGAUACCCUGGUA